CCUACGGGGGGCUGCAGUGGGGAAUAUUGGACAAUGGGGGCAACCCUGAUCCAGCCAUGCCGCGUGUGUGAAGAAGGCCCUCGGGUUGGAAAGCACUUUCAGUGAGGAAGAACGCCUGGUGGUUAAUACCCAUCAGGAAAGACAUCACUCACAGAAGAAGCACCGGCUAACUCCGUGCCAGCAGCCGCGGUAAUACGGAGGGUGCGAGCGUUAAUCGGAAUUACUGGGCGUAAAGCGCGCGUAGGUGGCUUGAUAAGCCGGUUGUGAAAGCCCCGGGCUCAACCUGGGAACGGCAUCCGGAACUGUCAAGCUAGAGUGCAGGAGAGGAAGGUAGAAUGCCCAGUGUAGCGGUGAAAUGCGUAGAGAUCGGGAGGAAUACCAGUGGCGAAGGCGGCCUUCGGGACUGACACUGACACUGAGGUGCGAAAGCGUGGGUAGCAAACAGGAUUAGAUACCCCAGUAGUC
rnacentral:rRNA from 1 species